UGAGGACCUACCAAGAUAACGGUAGCUUGA
rnacentral:piRNA from 1 species